AUUGAACGCUGGCGGCAGGCUUAACACAUGCAAGUCGAGCGGAGAUGAGGUGCUUGCACCUUAUCUUAGCGGCGGACGGGUGAGUAAUGCUUAGGAAUCUGCCUAUUAGUGGGGGACCACAUUCCGAAAGGAAUGCUAAUACCGCAUACGUCCUACGGGAGAAAGCAGGGGAUCUUCGGACCUCGCGCUAAUAGAUGAGCCUAAGUCGGAUUAGCUAGUGGGUGGGGUAAAGGCCUACCAAGGCGACGAUCUGUAGCGGGUCUGAGAGGAUGAUCCGCCACACUGGGACUGAGACACGGGCCAGACUCCUACGGGAGGCAGCAGUGGGGAAUAUUGGACAAUGGGGGGAACCCUGAUCCAGCCAUGCCGCGUGUGUGAAGAAGGCCUUAUGGUUGUAAAGCACUUUAAGCGAGGAGGAGGCUACUGAGACUAAUACUCUUGGAUAGUGGACGUUACUCGCAGAAUAAGCACCGGCUAACUCUGUGCCAGCAGCCGCAGUAA
rnacentral:rRNA from 1 species